GUGGGGAGAGAUGGGACAAGUUUUGGGGGCUGGAUAGGGAUAAAAUACACAGGGAAGGUGAGAACAUGGCUGGAGCUGCCAACUGGAAGUAGUUUCCUAUAGUUCAGUGCAGCUGUCAUGGCACACCAAUGAGGAAGGACCAAAGAACUUUAUUUUAUUUUUUUUAUCUUGAGAUAAGGUCGUACGCUGAGAGCUAUGGGGAAUCCAUGGAAGGAUAUGAAGCAAGGGAAGAGCACGGCCAGAGAGUGGUGUGGAAAGGUCACUCUCAUUGCCUUAAGGGCCCACAACGAGGAAGCAGAGAGCCAGUGUUUCCUGAUAACCUGUUAUGACCUGGAAACUUCAUGUGAAUGACAGCAGGCCAGACUGCCAGCCACCUUGCCAGCCAGGGUGAUUGUCCCUGUCUUACAAAUGGGGAAAAUAAACAAGAGGUUAAGACUUUCUCAAUGUUGCCUAGUUAUUAAGAAAUGGAGGAAGACUAAAGGCCUAUUUGUCUAAUCCCAAGGUCUGAGUUUAUUUUAGCUCAAGGAAGACAAAACUAAACACAUCUUUUGAAAAUAUACAAAAUAGAAUUUCAGAAUGAUCAAUGAUUGCUUAUGCAUUGUCUUUAUCACACUGAGGCGUGUCUGAAUCAAGCCAUCCACCUUCUCAUUGGGUGACCCACAGCUUCAAGUCCUGCUUCCUAAAACCAUUGGGACAUGGACCAUCUAAUACUCUUUUCCAGAAUUGGAGAGUCGUGCUGAGAACUAGUGACUUUGGGAUCCCUAUUGGCUAGAAGCUGGUGAUUAUUGGAAGAGGAAACUGAACGACAGUGCCGCUCCCUUGCCACAGUUUUGCUAGAUGACCAUUCCCUCUGAAAUGCCCAGAAAAGCCUUCACAUCCUCCUGGAACCCUGAGGAAUUUAUUAAUGAGGUCCAAUUAUGAGAAAUGUCAGGGUUUUCAUCAACUUCGGAUGUAUGGCUGAAAGGUCCAGCUCAGCCACCCCCUGCGAGAAUGCACAUUAAACAGGAUUUGCUAUGAAUCAGAGCUGAUUUCCCUGCUGUUCUUCAGUUUCAGUCCUACAGGCCCUUCCACACUAUCCACAGUCUGCUUCUUCCUCCUCUUCCUCACACAACAGUGGAUUUCAGCUACCCCACUCCCCAGUACAGGACAAGCCGGAAGCUGCAGACAGCAGCACUGGCUGGCUUCUGUCUCACUCGUGGCUUUCAACUAGGUGCAAUGGAGAGCUUUCCUGGCCACGUCCACCCUCCUCUCCGGGACAAACAGCCUGUUUCCUCUUCCGGGCUAUUUUUGAGGACAGAUGAGAGCCUUGACAAAAAAAUACUUGGAAUAAUUCUUGAAGCAGGUUUUCCAAACACCAUUGAAAAGAAACGAAGAUUUGGGUGAGAGAAUCAACCGUGAAUACUGCUCUAUGUACCGUCCCUAAUGCUUCAGGCCUCACAGAACAAACUGCGGGUCCUUCCCACCAGUGGAAACUGCAGGUUUCCGGGGCGUGGUCUCCUGUGCCUCCCCUUCCCCCGGGAGCCACAGCCUUCCAUCAGCUGCUAUGGGAAUGCCACACGUGGUUUUCCUGCAGCCACUUCCUCUCCUGGGAGAAGCCCGGGCCCCACCCUGCGCGGUUUCACAGGACGAUGCUGGGCUCCUGGGAGCCUGUGGCUGUGAGCUGCUAACAUCCUCCCCCGCUCCUGCAGGGCCCAGGAGCCUCUGCUCAGCUGAUUAAACAUUCUUCAAGGGAAGGCUUUUAAAGGGACCAUUGCACAGAGCGGCCAGGUUACGAAGUAGGUUAGGGGGUCGACUUUCAGAGGAGGGUGCUUCAACGCAGCUGCUAAAUAAUGCAUUUAUUACAACUUCCAAAAAAAAACCAAAACAAAAAACGCGAGCAAAAAUUAUGUUAGGCACAAAGGCAACAAAUCCCGAAACUUCACGGAUUCCUCGUGAUUUUUACUCUUUUCUCCAUUUCAGAUAAUUCAUAUCUACAUAUAUUUCUUCUUAGGACGUUGCUGUCGUAAUAGAAGUCUGAUGUUGGCCACGGUGGAAGCAUUCUUACUUUUGAAAUUGACAAAGGCGACAAAGGAGGGCUUGGCCUAUUUAUUAGCUUAUGGAUUGUCUGGGAGUCUAAAUUUAGGAAAAGGAUGGAGAAGUUGUGGAGAAAUCUGAGUUAAGACUUGACAUCUACAGCUGGACAUGGUGUUUCAAACCCGGAAUACUACUACCAUUGGGAUUCUGAGGCAGGAGGAUUGCAAAUUCUAGGCCAGCUGGGGCAGCAUAGCAAAAUCUUAUCUGAUUCCCCCCCCCCCCCCCGGAGUUUGAUGACAGGAGACUUUUAGAGAAGAGAGGAUCAAAAAGAAAAUGCCCGUGAAGCAAGUGAGGAUAAUGAAAGGAUAUGACCGAAGUCUAUUACAUACUUGUGUGACAAUAUAACAAUAAAGCACGUUGUUCUGUGUAA